rnacentral:rRNA from 1 species
UACGGAGGGUGCGAGCGUUGUCCGGAAUCAUUGGGCGUAAAGAGCGUGUAGGCGGCUUGGUAAGUCCGCUGUGAAAACUCGAGGCUCAACCUCGAGACGUCGGUGGAAACCGUUUGGCUAGAGUCCGGAAGAGGAGAGUGGAAUUCCCGGUGUAGCGGUGAAAUGCGCAGAUAUCGGGAAGAACACCCGUGGCGAAGGCGGCUCUCUGGGACGGUACUGACGCUGAGACGCGAAAGCGUGGGGAGCGAACAGG